rnacentral:rRNA from 1 species
UAAAGCUUAACAUAUUGUAUCUACAAUUCCACAAUUUUUACUUAACCCUUCAUCACUACUGAACUAUUUUAUACCCCUAUAAAAGUCAUUAUGCUAGAACUAGUAACAAGAAAUUGCCCUUCUCCAAAAUGUAUGUUUAAACCAAAAUGGACACUCCACUGGUAGUUAACGUAAAUGUAAAAAUCAUAGCACCAUAUACUAGAAAACCCUAUGACUCCCCAACGUCAACCUUACACUAGAACAUUACAGGAAAGAUUAAAAGAGAAAGAAGGAACUCGGCAAACCACAGUCCCGCCUGUUUACCAAAAACACCGCCUCUUGCUCCAAAUAUAAGAGGUCCAGCCUGCCCAGUGACAUAGUUUAACGGCCGCGGUACCCUAACCGUGCGAAGGUAGCAUAAUCACUUGUUCUUUAAAUAAGGACUCGUAUCAACGGCAUCACGAGGGCUGUACUGUCUCCUUUCUCCAAUCAGUGAAACUGAUCUCCCCGUGAAGAAGCGGGGAUUGACCUAUAAGACGAGAAGACCCCAUGGAGCUUUAAACCCAACACACACCUCUACUCACUCAAAUCAACAUAACCCAAGAGACUUAUGUGUUGGUUUUAGGUUGGGGGGACCGCGGAGUAAAAUCAAACCUCCAUGACAGACGGACUAACACCCUUAUCCAUGAACCACAAUUCUAAGAGCCAAUAAAUUGUUGUCUAAUGACCCAAUUACUUGAUCAACGAACCAAGUUACCCUGGGGAUAACAGCGCAAUCUACUUCAAGAGCCCCUAUCGACAAGUAGGUUUACGACCUCGAUGUUGGAUCAGGGUAUCCUAGUGGUGCAGCCGCUACUAAAGGUUCGUUUGUUCAACGAUUAAAAC